GUGACUCCGUGCAGAACGGAAGAUGUUUUUGGAGUGUGGCUUUUUUGUUUUUUCUUCCCUCACUGGAGCAGAAGGGUUAUGAACAAAAACACUGGAGAAAUUGGAAAAUUGCAGACAAGACUUUUUGUUUUUUAAGUGAAUGAUAAGUUUGGUAGAUGAUUGAAUGUCAUUGCAGACCCAUACUUGCAUUGCAGAACUACUGGAUAUUUUUGAAUCAGUAGUCAGUGUGACUAUGAAGACCUCUUCUUCUGCUCUAACUCUGAAUUGAACGUAUGAAAAUGAAGGAACCAAUGAAAGGAGUGCCACAGGCCACUGGAAAUGUUUGGAUGAAGAAACCUUUAUAGUCUUUACACAAGGGGGACAAAUCAAAUCGAAGGAGCACUCAGCACAUUGGCAUGUGGCCCAGGGCUGGGGGGUGACCAGUGAAGAAGAGGAUUUUAACCCUCAAAAACUAAUGAGCCUUCAUGUCCCUCCUGAUUUGGGCCUGAAAUAACUGACUGAAACGGAUGAAUAGGCAUCCAUCACUUCUCCCAGCCAUGUGGCUUAAUUGAAGCAACUGCUCCCUUGACAGUAUAUAUCGACCCCUUGUGAACAUUUGAAAUGUGAGUAUCCGGCUUCAUUUUAUCCUUUCUGCACUGUGCUGGAGCUCCUCUCAGAACUAUGGGAACACUAAAGGCCAGGCCUUUGGACUGUUUGUGCCCAACGGGUGCAUUUGGGGCCCCUGCGGCCCAGCCUGCCCACUCCUGCUCUGCGACUGUGUGUCUGCUGUGUGAUCCGAUGUGACACUAAGACGUCAUUAUCCUCAUCACUGUGCCAGCUUGCCGCUCUGCACUGGAAAUCAGCUCUGACAGCCAUGACCCUCCAACCUGAUUGGACCAGUGACCCUCUGACCUGCAGCCAUAGAGAUGGUGCUCAAACUCACCACUAUUACAUGCAGACCUCUGGACUACUGUAACAAUACCCCGGUGUGGACACAGGUUUUCUGCUUCUGGCCCUCAACCUGUUUUUGCUCCCUUCUUCCUCUGCCUCUCUGAUCUCAAAUGGAUGAUUUAGCUCACUUUUUUUUGUUGCAUAUUUUCUCUGUUGUAUAAUAUUUCUAUGUUUUAAAGUUUGAUGGUAUGACUUCUUGCGUUUGCUCAGACUGUAUUGAUACCUCUGUCCUGAUCAGGUGCAUAAUAGCCACAACUACUCAGGCAUCUUUUCACUUCAUCUGCUGUUGAUUGUUCAGCCACUCAGCCCUGAUUUUAUGUGAUUGUUCUCAGUUGGCAGAGUAACACACGUGGAUCCCGACUGCCAGUAGGGCCUGGGAAUACUGCAGUCUCAUGCUAUAGGAAAACAUUGCAAUAAUAAGCUUCAGCUCUGUCUCUUCUAUGCUCGUUCUACCUGCUGUCACGCAUGGCAUGCAAAAACUCUACAGAGAUCGUGACACAGUGAGAUUCAUCUCGGAUUUGCAUUUGGAAUUAUCAUUACUAGAGUGACAUUACUCCGCUGGGAUACAGUUAUUUACUUAGAAGUGACAAGUGUAAAUCCAAGUUACUUGUGACAUUUCCAUUGAGUGCUUUAGAGGGCCUAAUUGCUUUAUGACAUUUAGAAGGAGCUUGAAGUACUGUAUCCAAAAGCUUUUUUAGGUCCGCUGGUUGCACAUGCUGUCUGAGAGGUCUGUUUUCUUCCAUGUGAUUAUUCAGUAUCGCUGCAAUGUAAUAACAGCUGCUCCGUUUUUGAAGCUAACCAUUAAUCUUAGAUGUGUCUGUUAUGACUUGCGUAAGUGCUUCAAACCAUCUUUCUUCACUUCCCUCAGGGACCCUCCACACACAGCAGUUUAUCUCCACUGGACAAGGAAUGCAUCUGAGACAUGUCGGUUGUCUUGUUUUCCUCAGUUACGUGUUGUUUCCACAGUUAAAAAAAGAAAAACUGAAAAAAAGUGGGUCAUCGUGUCAUUUAUCUUCCUAAGUCAGUCAUGCCAGUAAGUUGAAGCAUGUGUCAUCACUCAUAAUCUGCUAAGUGUUACCUACCGUAUACAUGAACGGGCCAAGUGCGGUGCAGUUCUGAACAAAAGGAGAAGCUCCCGAGUGCAAAAGUUAGCGAUGCCUCCGUAAUUUAACGUGUCACCAAUCAUUGAAUAGCCUGUAUACCUCGUCAAAGACAGCAAUAGGCCCUGGUACUCUCUUGUCAAGCCUGCAAAGGAGGGUGGAGAGGGAGGAUCGGGGUGGGAACAGAGCCAAGAGGAGAUGAAAUGGACAUGACCGUUUUAGGGGUUUUGUUUGUUUAUUUUUAAUUUGUUUGGUUGUUUUGUUUUUUUCAUCUUCUGCUGUAAAUAGUCAAAAAAGAGAGAAUGAAGUCUUUGUUAAACUAUUUUUAUUGUUCUGAAAAAAAUAAACAAAAAAAGGAA